AACGAACGCUGGCGGCAGGCCUAACACAUGCAAGUCGAGCGAGGACUUCGGUCCUAGCGGCGGACGGGUGAGUAACGCGUGGGAACGUGCCCUUUGCUUCGGAAUAGCCCUGGGAAACUGGGAGUAAUACCGGAUGAGCCCUUUGGGGGAAAGAUUGAUCGGGGAAGGAUCGGCCCGCGUUGGAUUAGGUAGUUGGUGGGGUAAUGGCCUACCAAGCCGACGAUCCAUAGCUGGUUUGAGAGGAUGAUCAGCCACACUGGGACUGAGACACGGCCCAGACUCCUACGGGAGGCAGCAGUGGGGGAUCUUAGAAAAUGGGGGAAACCCUGAUCUAGCCAUGCCGCGUGAGCGAUGAAGGCCUUAGGGUUGUAAAGCUCUUUCAGCUGGGAAGAUAAUGACGGUACCAGCAGAAGAAGCCCCGGCUAACUCCGUG
rnacentral:rRNA from 1 species